UGUUGAUGGUGCGAAUUCUCUUUGACUAGGGAUCCAAAGAGGGUGCUAGACCCUUACGCAUUGUUGACUUUUCGUACGCGUUCGUUUCUUGGAGUAGGGUUGUUUUGGAUCGCAGCCCAAAGUAGGUGGUAUACUUCAUCUAAAGCUAAAUACGACUACGAAUCCGAUAGCAAACAAGUACCGUGAGGGAAAGUUGCAAAGUACUUUGAAGAGAGAGUUCAAGAGGACGUGAAACCGGUAGGGUGGAAGCAGAUAAAGUUGACGAACGUGUGUCGUAUUCAGAACUACAAUUUGUGGUUUGUUUUUACGAUCGAUGUGGGCUGGCGUCUUUGGUUAACUUAGUGUCUGGCGGCAAUGGUGACCCUGCGGAGGGAUAAUCGGUUGUCGUGCGAUGCUUGGUAUGGCUAGAGGUUCGCUGGUCUUAUAGUCAUCGCUUUAUCUGACCCGUCUUGAAACACGGACCAAGGAGUGUAGCGCUUACGCGAGUCUUAGAGUGUGUCAAAACUUUGAGGCGUAACGAAAGUAAAUGUGGAUUUAUUCACUGACUUG
rnacentral:rRNA from 1 species